rnacentral:rRNA from 1 species
GACGAACGCUGGCGGCGUGCUUAACACAUGCAAGUCGACGACGCUACUGAGUAGCAAUAUUUAGUAGUGGAGUGGCGCAAGGGUGAGUAAUGUAUACGUAACCAACCCAUCGGAGACGGAUAACAUUUCGAAAGGGAUGCUAAAACGGCAUGAAGCCACGAUUUCGCAUGAGAUUGUGGUUAAAGAACCGGUAACAGGUUGCCGAUGGCUGGGCGUAUAUCCGAUUAGCUAGUUGGUAGUGUAAUGGACUACCAAGGCGACGAUCGGUAGCUGGUCUGAGAGGAUGAUCAGCCAAACUGGCACUGAGACACGGGCCAGACUCCUACGGGAGGCAGCAGUGGGGAAUAUUGGGCAAUGCCCGCAAGGGUGACCCAGCAACGCCGCGUGGAGGAUGAAGGCCGUAAGGUUGUAAACUCUGACAAGCAGGGAAGAACGGCUAUGGUAAAAGGCCAUAGAAUGACGGUACCUGCCUGAAGCCCCGGCUAACUACGUG